UUCUUCCCAUUCAUCGGUAGAUGUCUGGUCGUGGUUUCUUUCUUCCCAUUCAUCGGUAGAUGUCUGGUCGUGGUUUCUUUCUUCCCAUUCAUCGAGAGAUGUCUGGUCGUGGUUUCUUUCUUCCCAUUCAUCCGUUGAUGUCUGGUCGUGGUUUCUUUCUUCCCAUUCAUCGAGAGAUGUCUGGUCGUGGUUUCUUUCUUCCCAUUC
rnacentral:lncRNA from 1 species